UACGUAGGUGGCGAGCGUUAUCCGGAAUGAUUGGGCGUAAAGGGUGUGUAGGUGGCAGAUCAAGUCUGGAGUAAAAGGUAUGGGCUCAACCCGUACUGGCUCUGGAAACUGAUCAGCUAGAGAACAGAAGAGGACGGCGGAACUCCAUGUGUAGCGGUAAAAUGCGUAGAUAUAUGGAAGAACACCGGUGGCGAAGGCGGCCGUCUGGUCUGGAUUCUGACACUGAAGCACGAAAGCGUGGGGAGCAAAUAGG
rnacentral:rRNA from 1 species